rnacentral:rRNA from 1 species
GAGGACAUAUCAAUAAGCGGAGGAACAUUA